AUGGCUGAAAGAGUCCAAUUAGAUUGUGACUCUGGUGAAGAGUCCUACUUGGACUAGGACUCUGUGGGAGAGUCCCAUUGAAACUGAAAUUCUACUAUUCAUAAAAAAUUAAUUAGUAAUUAGAUUAUUAAUUAACUCAAUUUUAUUGAAUAAAGAGCUUUGGAACAAUUCUAACUGAAUUAGAUUCAGUUCGACUUAGAUUG
rnacentral:lncRNA from 1 species